rnacentral:rRNA from 1 species
CUACGGGCGGCAGCAGUGGGGAAUAUUGCACAAUGGGCGCAAGCCUGAUGCAGCCAUGCCGCGUGUAUGAAGAAGGCCUUCGGGUUGUAAAGUACUUUCAGCGGGGAGGAAGGGAGUAAAGUUAAUACCUUUGCUCAUUGACGUUACCCGCAGAAGAAGCACCGGCUAACUCCGUGCCAGCAGCCGCGGUAAUACGGAGGGUGCAAGCGUUAAUCGGAAUUACUGGGCGUAAAGCGCACGCAGGCGGUUUGUUAAGUCAGAUGUGAAAUCCCCGGGCUCAACCUGGGAACUGCAUCUGAUACUGGCAAGCUUGAGUCUCGUAGAGGGGGGUAGAAUUCCAGGUGUAGCGGUGAAAUGCGUAGAGAUCUGGAGGAAUACCGGUGGCGAUGGCGGCCCCCUGGACGAAGACUGACGCUCAGGUGCGAAAGCGUGGGGAGCAAACAGGAUUAGAUACCCGAGUAGUC